rnacentral:tRNA from 1 species
GGGCAGUUAGCUCAGCUGGUACGAGCGCGUCUUUGACGUAGACGAGGUCACAGGUUCGAUCCCUGUACUGCCCA